AAACUUUUCAUAUUUCUAAAGCAGUGUUUCCUUUAAUAAAUGUUUUUGAAUAAGUAAUUUAAAGAAUAAAUGGCAUUUGUUAUAAUUGAGAGCCUUCUUCAUUUCCUAUGCAAAAUGUGGAAAAUGAGAGUGAUAAAAUUGAGAGAAUUAGAAUCGUAAAGUUUAAAAGUUGAAAAUUAAAUUCCUAGAACACUUCCCCUUCAGAGGCAAAUUAAACCCAAAGGCAUUAAUGAUGAAGCAGUGAGCCACUGAACUAGACCCAGAAUGGAGACUCUGGAUUCCAGUUGGUGUCUCUCUUAGAAAAUCUGCUUUGUCACAAACUUGUUUUAGCCGCUCUCUGUUUGGAUGCCCUGACCCUUUCCCUACCAAACUGAAGCCGCCUAAGUCAAAUGACUUUUCCCCUUAUUUCUUUCAGUUUCAUAGGCUGUGUUCUAGGGCUGGACCGAGCAGCAGGAAAAGAAGCAAGUCAAAUGGAAAGAGCAAAACCAAGGCCACCCCAUCCUGAAAGAGCUAAAAGGCUCUAGAACAUACCGAGAAUGACGAAAAUCCUCACAAAACUGAAGUUUUACACGUGAAAAGAAGACCUACUCAAGGAUGAAUUUCAGAUAUGUCUUCCACAUAUUCCUGUGCGUUUGAAAGGCUGUAGGCUACAACACACACUCUCAUUCAACCAAGCAUACAAUUCUGACAAAAUAUUUAGAACCCAGAGCCAACUCCUAGCUCUGCUUAUCCAUUAAUGAAAAUUCCAAUGAAGUUCUUACACAUGCAAGCUGGAAGAAAAGAAAUAAAUGUUUCAGUAAUCACAAAUUCUGCAGCGUGAGAGCUCUGUCUUCAGUUCAGCAGCUGUUGGUGAUAAGAAUACGAUGUAAUGUACGUGGCCAGAUAUUUAGAAUUUAUUAGUGGUUUAGCAUACUAACCUGUCCCUUCUCUUCUCUCUGUGUGUGCUUUUAAAGCAAGUCAUUUAAAAAUCACUCAAUUAAUGCUAAUUACUCAUCUCAAAUAGAUGGACCGAAAUCUCAAAUACCUUGUGCUUGUUGCUUUUCUAGUACAAGUCACUGCGGCCUGAAUGACUUUUUAAAAUUGGUUAUCUCCCAGAUGGAGUACCUGUUUCAAAUACAAGGCCCACAAAUGUUCUGUCCUCCAGUGUUUUAACUUGUUUGGAGUUUGUUUUAUUAGCCUGACUGAGGAGCUCCAAAGGAAACAAAGCAUUAAAUUGGCAAAGCCUAAACAAGACUUUCUUUCAGGAAGGGACCCGGAGCUUUGGGUGACAGUCUAAUUGCUUCUAAGCCCCCAAAGAGGCCUCGGGCUUGAAGUAAGAAUGUGUCGACGUCAACAGGCUAAAUCAGCCAAAGAAUUAGGCAGGCACAGUUCCACAGACCUGACACAUCGCAGACCACUGCAAAUGGUUUUCUAAAAGGGAUAAAAAUAAAAUAAAGAAUUAUCGUCUGGCAAUGGGUGUACGACCUCACAGA
rnacentral:lncRNA from 1 species